rnacentral:lncRNA from 1 species
UUUCUUUUCUUCUUCUCUCUAUACGUUGGUGUUCUAACCAAUAAUCACCGAUGCGAUAUUCUGUCCGAUCGAUUCAGGAACCAACUAACGGAUGCCAAAGUGCUAUACUUUGUGAGUUCGUUAAACGGAUGCCAAAGUUCUGUCUAAUAAGACUAUACUUUGUGAAAUUCGUUAAGGUUCGAAUCUCGUGACCAUCGUUAGGUUUGAUGUGGUUUUACACUAAUACGCAUUCCACUCUGUUAAACUAAAUGUUUAACUACCCGAAACUCUACACCAUACUCUUACAAUCAAAAUGGAUGCUUAAUUAUCAGAAGGAGUAGAAUUAAGAAGCUUGUUAAAUCAAUACUGCAUGCUUAUGAGGUAAUUACUGUAGAUUGGAAUAAGGGUGAUGAUGUGGCACCAACAAGGCUUAUAGAAGUGGCUCAUUUUAUCAAUUAAAUUAAAUUAAGAAAAGUUAUUUUAUGUAAUCGGACUUAUUCUAUAUUAAAGCUACCUUUCAAAACAUGGUUUUAUCCCAUCUAUUUAAUAAAUAAAAUCCGGUGUUUUCUAAACUUUGAUAUUUUCCUAACUCACGGUCCUGAUGAAAUUUCCGCUGCACUACUUUUCUAAAUAACCACCGAUACCACUUGGCUGCUCGCGGCUCCCGAUCCCGUCCAGGGUGGGGUCGGGGGUCGUGACAGUAAAAGUUGUGUCUAUGGAGCUGGGGUGGGUGAAGAUGAAGUCCAAUCCUUUGCUAAUUUAAUUCAUUGUAAGGCCGGAUCGUUCCCUUUCACGUUUCUUUGGCUUCCUAUUGGUUCUAACAUGAAAAGGGUGAAGUUUUAGAAACCUAUUAUCGACAAAUUCAACUCAAAGCUAUCAUUCAACUCAAAGUUAUCGGGUUGGAAAGCUAAGAGCCACUCGUUGGCGGGGAGAGUGACUCUUGCUAAGGCUGUAUUCGGGGCCCUCCUUAAUUACUACUUUUCCAUUUUUAAGGCUCCUGUUAGUGUUAUAAACUCCCUUGAAAAUAUUAGAAAAAACUAUGUUUAGGGAUCCCAUAACGGCAAAAACAAAAAAAUAAAUGGGUUGCUUGGGAGAAAAUGGUCGGUCCUAAGCGGCUAGGGAGUUUGGGCAUUGGCGAAAUCCCGAGUUUAAAUAUAACCUGAUGUGUCUGAAAGACAACAUGUUAUUAUAGUAUAAAAACCCGCAUUUUGAUAGUUGUUUGUAGUAAAUAUUGCUUAGAAUGGAUUAAAUGUUCGUUUCUAAGUGUUUUCCAGGUUCCUAAGUGAAAUGAAGGAUUUCCGGGCCAAGACUAAAGAUUACUAAAGAUUGCUGAAGACAGACUUAGUUCUGUUGUUUACAGGCUGUGAGCCUAGAAGAGGUGUACGAGUCGUGAUCCCCAAGUUAGUACACCGACCUAUUGUUGCCGUGAGCCCCAAGUUAGUACACCGACCUAUUAUUUGAAAACCCUAGAACGCUAAGGAACAACUUUCCUUGUUUACGGGUCGUGACCCGGGUUCGAGUUGACUGGUGGUAAACCACCCAAAUUCUACAUGGACCGUAUAUAAUGACUGAGAUGUCCAAGAAUCCCUAGAGAAUGGACGAAACUAGGAAGAAGAAGCGUAAAAAGGGUUGUCGAAGUUCAAGGAUUCAACAUCGGAGAUUUAGGAGAGAAUUCAAGGAAGAAGAACGUACAGGAGGACAAAAGAUUGUUCCUUACUGAGUUAGCACCCUUCGUAUUAUCAUUUCCUGUUGAUUUCUAUCAUGUAUUCAAUGAAUUUUUUAGCUUUGUUUGUUACUAUGAGUAGCUAAUCGCGCCAUAGCCGAUUAGGGUAGGAUGAUUCUUGUUACUUUGUAUUGACUUUGUUGAUUUUGUUAUGAAAGUGUGCUUUUAG